CAGGGAACAACUCGAGUUCCUGGAGUUCCAGUUUCGCACGGUUCGUCUCAACCCUCUCUUGUCGAAGCUCAAGCCCUCUCUCGCCUCUCCUCGCCGAAGCAAGCUCCUCUGGCCCAAGCCCCUCUCUCGGAAGCUCUUCACAAAAACCCAUUACAGUGCCUUCAUCCCUUCGUGAUAAGAUCUCUCUCCACUGAAACAGCCUUCCCCUCAUCGUGCUCCUCUCUGUCUCGGUUCCUCCCGUCUCUCUCUGUACGUCCAGAUCUGCGGUAGAGGAACUGUGCCUGCAUCCAGAUCUGCAACAAUGCCACAGUUGUUUUCCGGCUGACCCCCUAUUUGUUGUAACCCAUUAUAGUGACGGGGCGCGAAGACCCCCUCCUCACCCAAAAACCCACGACGCCCUCCCUCUGCCCAGCACCACCCCGCAACACCCUCCCUCUGUUCAGCGCCACCCCGCAAUGCUCCUCCUUCUGCCCAGCAACUGCCCCUCCCCGCGAGCUCAUUCAACGGAGCAAACCAGGUGGAUCUUGAGAAAAAUAGACAAAAAUAGUCGGUGGAGCUCUGUUUCACCGCCAUCCCUCUGCUGAGCUUCGUAGUUUUAGUGUGAUGGGGGAAGAGGAAGAUGAAAUGCCACCCAGGCCUUCGAUAUCGACUUCACAGUUGUAUGUUCGUCCCAUAAAUCCA